AUUGAACGCUGGCGGCAGGCCUAACACAUGCAAGUCGAGCGGAUGAAGGGAGCUUGCUCCUGGAUUCAGCGGCGGACGGGUGAGUAAUGCCUAGGAAUCUGCCUGGUAGUGGGGGAUAACGUCCGGAAACGGGCGCUAAUACCGCAUACGUCCUGAGGGAGAAAGUGGGGGAUCUUCGGACCUCACGCUAUCAGAUGAGCCUAGGUCGGAUUAGCUAGUUGGUGGGGUAAAGGCAUACCAAGGCGACGAUCCGUAACUGGUCUGAGAGGAUGAUCAGUCACACUGGAACUGAGACACGGUCCAGACUCCUACGGGAGGCAGCAGUGGGGAAUAUUGGACAAUGGGCGAAAGCCUGAUCCAGCCAUGCCGCGUGUGUGAAGAAGGUCUUCGGAUUGUAAAGCACUUUAAGUUGGGAGGAAGAGCAGUAAGUUAAUACCUUGCUGUUUUGACGUUACCAACAGAAUAAGCACCGGCUAACAUCGUG
rnacentral:rRNA from 1 species